UACCAGCACCCCGAGUGGUCGGGACGUUUAUUGGGCCUAAAGCAUCCGUAGCCGGUUCUACAAGUCUUCCGUUAAAUCCACCUGCUUAACAGAUGGGCCGCGGAAGAUACUAUAGAGCUAGGAGGCGGGAGAGGCAAGCGGUACUCGAUGGGUAGGGGUAAAAUCCGUUGAUCCAUUGAAGACCACCAGUGGCGAAGGCGGCUUGCCAGAACGCGCUCGACGGUGAGGGAUGAAAGCUGGGGGAGCAAACCGG
rnacentral:rRNA from 1 species